UGUUGGUAUUAUAUUCCUGGCUCCUUUUUUCUUUUCAUGGCAAUGCAUUACUGGUCCCGUUUUUGUGAGGCUACUUUUAUCUUAAGAUGGACAGCAUUUUGUCGAGUGGAUGUAAAUAACAGCUAAAUCGUUGGUGAUUUUGACCUGGAGUUUAUGGCAACUAUGACGUUAGGCGACUGCAAUGGUUUCACUCGCAUGAACAAACGGAAAGUACCCAAGGAUAAUUUGUUAAAGAAGUAUUUUGGGUGUGCAGCUUCAGAAACUGAAUUCCUUACUGAAUGGUACAUGGUAGAGAGAUUUGGCUUCAUUUACUGUCAGUCAUUUCCUCUGCUUGUACUUUUCAGUUUAGCCUGAGCCUGAAGAGUAACAACUGAAUCAACAGAAGUAUGGAUCUGUACAAUGUUUCAAGGGUUUUCAUCUGUAGAGAUUUCAUUGGGUCCCUAACUCUUGAGAAGGCUGUGGUUGCUUCCCGUAACUCAAAGGUUACAGCCGGUUUUUCAGGACUUUGUGAUUGAGAG